rnacentral:rRNA from 1 species
GACGAACGCUGGCGGCGUGCUUAACACAUGCAAGUCGAGCGGAGCGGCUAACGGGUGAGUAACACGUUAGUGACCUGCCCUCCACUCUUGGAUAAGCCCGGGAAACUGGGUCUCAUACCGGAUAGGGGGGGAUGGGCUCGCGGCCUAUCAGUUUGUUGGUGAGGUAGUGGCUCACGAAGGCGAUGAGGGGUAGCCGGCCUGAGAGGGCGACAGGCCACACUGGGACAGAGACACGGCCCAGACGCCUACGGGAGGCAGCAGUGGGGAAGAUAGCACAAUGGGCGAAAGCAUGAUGGAGCGACGCCGCGUGGGGGAUGACGGCCUUCGGGUUGGAAACCUCUUUGAGCAAGGAAGCGGUACUUGCAGAAGAAGCGCCGGCUAACUACGUGCCAGCAGCCGCGGUAAUUC